ACGGAAGGCAGCAGUGAGGAAUAUUGGUCAAUGGACGGAAGUCUGAACCAGCCAUGCCGCGUGAAGGAAUAAGGCCCUCUGGGUCGUAAACUUCUUUUGUGGUGGAGCAAUAAGGUGCACGUGUGCAUCGAUGAGCGUACAUCACGAAUAAGCAUCGGCUAACUCCGUGCCAGCAGCCGCGGUAAUACGGAGGAUGCGCGAGUUAUCCGGAUUUAUUGGGUUUAAAGGGUGCGUAGGCUGUUCUUCAAGUCAGAGGUGAAAUACCGGGGCUCAACCCUGGAACUGCCUUUGAUACUGGAGGGCUUGAAUACUGUUGCCGUGGGAGGAAUGAGUAGUGUAGCGGUGAAAUGCAUAGAUAUUACGCAGAACACCGAUUGCGAAGGCAGCUCACGAAGCAGCGAUUGACGCUGAGGCACGAAAGCGUGGGGAUCAAACAGGAUUAGAUACCCUGGUA
rnacentral:rRNA from 1 species